rnacentral:rRNA from 1 species
CGCGUAGGUGGUUUGUUAAGUUGGAUGUGAAAGCCCCGGGCUCAACCUGGGAACUGCAUCCAAAACUGGCAAGCUAGAGUACGGUAGAGGGUGGUGGAAUUUCCUGUGUAGCGGUGAAAUGCGUAGAUAUCGGGAGGAACACCAGUGGCGAAGGCGGCUUCCUGGCACACAACUGACGCUCAUGUGCGAAAGCCAGGGCAGCAACG